GGAAGGUGGGGAUGACGUCAAAUCAUCAUGCCCCUUAUGACCUGGGCUACACACGUGCUACAAUGGGCGGUACAAAGGGUCGCGAACCCGCGAGGGGGAGCCAAUCCCAAAAAGCCGCUCUCAGUUCGGAUUGCAGGCUGCAACUCGCCUGCAUGAAGCCGGAAUCGCUAGUAAUCGCGGAUCAGCAUGCCGCGGUGAAUACGUUCCCGGGCCUU
rnacentral:rRNA from 1 species